rnacentral:misc_RNA from 1 species
UGAGAGAGAGAGUUAGCAGCGCUGCAAAAUGAAGCAUACAUGGUCCGAUCCACCUCGUCCAGGCUUGUGGCUAUUGAUUUCCUCUUCUUCGCCAUAGCUACCAACACUCGAAUUCCACUACAAGAUUUCCCGAUUCCACCGAUAGAUUUUUAUUUUUCCCCUUUCAAUUUAUUCAAUUAUCAUAAAAAUUCACCUAAUUUCCCGUAAAGAAAAAAAAAAAAAUAAUGGAGCGUCUG